rnacentral:rRNA from 1 species
GACGAACGCUGGCGGCGUGCUUAACACAUGCAAGUCGAACGGAAAGGCCUCUUGCUUGCAAGGGGUGCUCGAGUGGCGAACGGGUGAGUAACACGUGGGUGAUCUGCCUUGUACUCUGGGAUAAGCUUGGGAAACUGGGUCUAAUACCGGAUAGGAACUGCCUUUAGUGUGGUGGUUGGAAAGUUUUUUCGGUGCAAGAUGAGCUCGCGGCCUAUCAGCUUGUUGGUGGGGUAAUGGCCUACCAAGGCGUCGACGGGUAGCCGGCCUGAGAGGGUGUACGGCCACAUUGGGACUGAGAUACGGCCCAGACUCCUACGGGAGGCAGCAGUGGGGAAUAUUGCACAAUGGGCGGAAGCCUGAUGCAGCGACGCCGCGUGGGGGAUGACGGCCUUCGGGUUGUAAACUCCUUUCGACAGGGACGAAGCGCAAGUGACGGUACCUGUAUAAGAAGCACCGGCUAACUACGUGCCAGCAGCCGCGGUAAUACGUAGGGUGCGAGCGUUGUCCGGAAUUACUGGGCGUAAGAGCUCGUAGGUGGUUUGUCGCGUCGUCUGUGAAAUUCCGGGGCUUAACUCGGGGCGUGCAGGCGAUACGGGCAUAACUUGAGUGCUGUAGGGGAGACUGGAAUUCCUGGUGUAGCGGUGAAAUGCGCAGAUAUCAGGAGGAACACCGAUGGCGAAGGCAGGUCUCUGGGCAGUUACUGACGCUGAGGAGCGAAAGCAUGGGUAGCGAACAGGAUUAGAUACCCUGGUAGUCCAUGCCGUAAACGGUGGGCGCUAGGUGUAGGGGGCUUCCACGUCUUCUGUGCCGUAGCUAACGCAUUAAGCGCCCCGCCUGGGGAGUACGGCCGCAAGGCUAAAACUCAAAGGAAUUGACGGGGGCCCGCACAAGCGGCGGAGCAUGUGGAUUAAUUCGAUGCAACGCGAAGAACCUUACCUGGGCUUGACAUACACCAGAUCGCUGCAGAGAUGUAGUUUCCCUUGUGGUUGGUGUACAGGUGGUGCAUGGUUGUCGUCAGCUCGUGUCGUGAGAUGUUGGGUUAAGUCCCGCAACGGGCGCAACCCUUGUCUUAUGUUGCCAGCAUUUGGUUGGGGACUCAUGAGAGACUGCCGGGGUUAACUCGGAGGAAGGUGGGGAUGACGUCAAAUCAUCAUGCCCCUUAUGUCCAGGGCUUCACACAUGCUACAAUGGUCGGUACAACGCGCAGCGAUACUGUGAGGUGGAGCGAAUCGCUGAAAGCCGGUCUUAGUUCGGAUUGGGGUCUGCAACUCGACCCCAUGAAGUCGGAGUCGCUAGUAAUCGUAGAUCAGCAAUGCUGCGGUGAAUACGUUCCCGGGCCU